AGGUGAGGGCGAUCUGGCUGAGACAUCUGUCACCUCAUUGAUCGCCAGGGUUGAUCUGGCUGAUCUGGCUGGCUAGGUGGGUGUCCCCUUCCUCCCUUACCGCCCAUGUGCAUUCUUCCCGAAGCUGCGUGCUCCGUUGAAGAGGACGGCCUUUCCCGAAUAGAAACGGACUGGUCUUUGGUCAAGGGUAUACGAAUAGCUCUGCUCCCCUGCUAGAACCUCCAAACAAGCUCUCAAAAGUCUUCCCCCCAUACCCCAUGUCAAUUAUCAGAAAAAUCACAGUCUGCUCCUGUUCUUUGGGUUGGGGAACUAAGU
rfam:Erinaceus europaeus unplaced genomic scaffold scaffold00158, whole genome shotgun sequence